rnacentral:rRNA from 1 species
GACGAACGCUGGCGGCGUGCCUACUACAUGCAAGUAGGACGCAGUUGCGAACGGGUGAGUAACGCGUAGGUAACUACCUAUUAGAGGGGGAUAACUAUUGGAAACGAUAGCUAAUACCGCAUACUAGUCGAUGGAACUGCGUUGUAUUAGGUAGUAGGUAGGGGAAUGGCCUACCUAGGCAACGAUACAUCGCCGACCUGAGAGGGGGGUCGGCGCACCUGGGACUGAGCAACGGCCCAGACUUCUACGGUAGGCAGCAGUAGGGAAUCUUCGGAAAUGUGGGGAACCCUGACCGAGCAACGCCGCGGGAGUGAAUAAGGUUUUCGGAUCGUAAAGCUCUGUUGUUAAGGAAGCGGUACUUAACCAGAAAGGGACGGCUAACUACGUGCCAGCCGCCGCGGUAAUUC